AAUUGUGAUGCUCAGGUAAAUGUAUAUAAGUACUCUUGCGCCAAUAUAUCCUUUUGCUUAAGACCUACAAGUGAAAAUAGAAAUUAGUAUUCCUCCCCUUCCCUUCAGCAUCUAUGUUCUCGACUUUCCACCUCACUGAGCUCUAUCAGCAGCAGCAACAGCAACAGCAACAACAACUCUGCAACCUCCAAGGCCCCAAAAUUUAACAAGAGAUAAAAUUAAAAUUCGUAGAUUUAAAGCAAUCUCUUUCACUUUCUUCAAACCAACCCUUCUAAUCAAAUCUCCCUUCAAAUUCAAUGCCCCUACCAGCUCAGACAACUACUAAAGAACUCUGACAGGGACUUUUGGGUGAUGCCCAUGUGACCCAUCCUUUUAUGUGCAAUCUAAAACUUUCAAUAUUUCUCCUCCUUAUACAAGUAACAACAUUGUUUUUGUGUUCUUGAAUGAUAUCAACUACUUCGUUUCAAUAACCUAAACGAAUCUUGGUCUAAAAAAGAAAAUUAACCUAAUCGAACUUGAUUAUUGAGAUUUACAACUACUAGUUUCUAAGAGUGAUCUUAUUUAUCACUUCGUUGGCCAACUUGUCAGUAAUUUAGCCAUUGAAGAUUUCCAUUAUCUGCAGCAAACGCAAAUACACAAACAACAAAUGGAAGAAACAAUAUGUACAGGUGACUGUAGCACUAGCUGGUUCUAAACCCCAAACUACUAUCCCACGCAGAACCAAACUCAUGUCACCAAGAACCAAACUUAACAAACUCAGUCCAUAAGAACCAGGGAUCGGAACAAGAACCCUUAAAGCACAAAAUUUUCUUUCCAAUCUGCUCUAGCCACCAUUAGAAAAGAAAACAUUAGGAUAGUCUAUUACCUCUUCGCUGUAUUUCUAAUCGAAGACUCCAAAAUAAACAUUAGGAUGAUGUUGACGACUGACGAUGCGUUGAGGCCUCAAGCGUACAGAUAGAGGAGAUGGAAUGAAAUUAUUUUAUGCUAUUUUGAUUUUUCA
rnacentral:lncRNA from 1 species